AUUGAACGCUGGCGGCAGGCCUAACACAUGCAAGUCGAGCGGAUGAAGCGAGCUUGCUCCUGGACUCAGCGGCGGACGGUUGAGUAAUGCCUAUGAAUUCGCCUGGUCGCGGGGGAUAACGUCCGGAAACGGGCGCUAAUACUGCAUACGUCCUGUUGGAGACAGUGGGGGAUCUUCGGACUUCAUGCUAUCAUAUUAGCCUGGGUCGGAUUAGCUAGUUGGUGGGGUAAAGGCCUACCAAGGCGUCGAUCCGUAACUGGUCUGAGAGGAAGAUCAGUCACACUGGAACUGAGACACGGUCCAGACUCCUACGGGAGGCAGCAGUGGGGAAUAUUGGGCGAUGGGCGAAAGCCUGAUCCAGCCAUGCCGCGUGUGUGAAGAAGGUCUUCGGAUUGUAAAGCACUUUAAGUUGGGAGGAAGGGCAGUAAGUUAAUACCUUGCUGUUUUGACGUUACCAACAGAAUAAGCACCGGCUAACUUCGUG
rnacentral:rRNA from 1 species